CCCUUCCUGCCUUCCCCGCCGGCACCGGAGUCCUUCGGGCUCGUGUUCCCACCUGGGGAACACGCGAGGAUCCGAGGUGCUAUUGCAUUUUCCCUUUGGAUGCACAGCACUUUCCUUUCUCCUUAGCGCUGUGCCUGAAGGAUACCGUUUUCCGACCGGUUUUGCAAUAUUCCAGGAAAUUGUCGGAUUUGUCAUGUUUUUUUUGUCUGUGGCGUGGAAGGUCUGUCUCUUCCUUCUUAUAAUAGCUCAUGUUACAAGUGUUACUAAUGUUCGAGAAGUUCCCUGCGGACAAUACAUGAGUAAUUUUUCAGUAUUCUGGCCAUCAAGUUAUUAAAUAGGUUUUUCAAGGUCUUAUAGUUAAUUCAUCGAUCAGGAGCACAGCUAGAAGUUAAGCACGUCACAGUUCACGUUUGUGUCAAUCAGAACGGGUUUUUGUUGCAUGAUGUGGGAAGUGGCAACUUUGCCCACUAUAUCUGCUUAGAAAAAUUAAGUGCUUUUUCUUUUGUGGUGUUUCCCCCACAAUAAAGAUUAGCAAAAUCAAGACUUUUAGAGACUGUUGUUUAAGCCUUUUAUUUUGAAAUAUGGAAGGUGUAAAGCAUCUCAUAAUUGCAUAUCUUUUUUACAAAAAAACCCCAGAAUAGGGCAGGAGGGCAAUUGAAUGAAGUGCACUACACUUGAACAGUGUUGUUUGCUAAUAAAUUGCUGCCUCCUGUUAAAUGCAAAGCAGUGUUUUGUAGGUCUAGCUGAUAUAUAAAAAGAGGAAUAUUUUUUUGUUUCUUUGAUGCACUUUGGUUCAUCAAUGUAUGUAUUCCCUGUAAAAAAAUGCUGAUGACUAGUUCCUGUGUCAGGUUGUGGAAGCAAGUACUUGGAUGGCUACUUAUGUGAGCAAGGGUCUAGAGAAUGAGUCACUGCUUGCUGAUAGUUGCCUCUCUCUGUCCUGUUUUUUAUCCUCUCUCUACUUAGGAAUGUGUUCAACAGCAACUUUUGAUGUAAUAUAUUAAAGUGAGUGUAAGUAAGUAUUGCCACGUACAAGCUCCUGGUCCUUCAAAGUAGAUACAGUAGCAGAAAUAGAUCAAGUAUGUGAUAGAAAGUAAGGCAGUAGCCUAAAGCCUUUCUUGAAGAACCACCAGAGUGUAUUUAGAAAGUAAUAGCAAUCUUACACUGCUGCUGUAUAAUGGGAUAAAGAAAAGCUAUCAAGGAAAAUGUAUCAGCAGAUAGGGAAAUAUAUUUUUAACUCUUAUGGUGUGUUACAUUUGGAGCUUCCAGACAGAUUUGCAAUUCUGUUCAAUUAAUUUUUGCUGUUGGGAAAACUGCAGUGUGGGGGUAGUGAUUUGCCCAAGGUCACCUAGAAGACUUGGUGGGAAUAAAAUAGGAAAGCAACCGGUAUUUCUGGGCCAGAGUCUGGUAUUUAAUCUGCUAGAACCUGUUGCUGUUUAUUUUUUAUAUUGGUAGUGGUUUUUAUUAUGGUUUUAAGGGAUCAAUGAACCCGUUACUUGCUUUGGUAGCAUAAUUUGGUAUAAUUCUGCACAAAAUUUAGUAAACCUUACUAGUCUGAGUAAUUGGGAAAGUUUAGUAAGGAUAAGUUAAAGAAAAUAAGACAUUUCAUAGACCUGAGCUGAAACCUAGUGCUGUGUUUAAAAAUACAAUAGUUUAAAGUAAGGCCAUGGUGUGAAAGAAAGUAGGUACUAUGACCACAAGAAACAAGUGGGGAAAUUAACUAUUAUAUGUGGAUUGGUGAUUUAGGAUUCUAUUUUCUGUCAGUGAAGCAUAAAAUUUAAUCCCGGGCUUCAGUGUAGGUUAGCAAAUGUAAGUAGAGGAAGAUGUGUGUAGUGUAAUAGCUUUUGAAUCUCAAUAAAAGGCUUAUUAACUUAGUGUCAGACACUGGUGUAAAGCAAAAGAACACAAACUGUCUAAACUUAUGAGCAGAAACCCUGACGUAGUAAAUUUCUUGAUGUGUAUGACUUCAUAUCGUCCUUGUUACUUGCCCAGUAUUUCAAUGUAAUGGAAGCAGAGUUGCUUAUAGGAGAGCACAGCUUCUAAUAAAUUGCAGUCUCUGCUGUUUUCAGUCUAUAAAAUUACAAAAACCGAGAGGGAAUAGUUCUUCAUUUGUGUAAGUAAUUUGCAUGUUAAUUACAGAUCUGGUUGUAUAAACAGAAUGUGUUUUUCUAUAAGGAUUAUCUUUUUCUUUUUUUUUCCCCAUACACAGACCUAAUGUGUUAUUCAGACAUACUGGACUUGUUUGAUAUGGCAUCCAGUCCUGUGAUGUGUUGAACAGCACCAAUUCUCUUUUUCUUCAGUAGAAUUGAAGGUGUUUGCCCUCUGCCAGGAUUGCACCUGAAUUUUAAGUUCUCGGGCCACUAAGCUCUUAGACAAUAGAGGGACUGGAUUGAAAUCAAAAAGAAAUUAAAAAACCCAAUGCAACAAAACCAGCCAAAAACUCCAGCUGAUUUCUAAAGAGCUUGCUCUUCUAGACAUUAAGAAAGUAGCCUCAUGUAACUGAGCCCUUCAGGCUGGACAGAAGGUGGGUCUGCAUCUUGUUGAAAGUGCCAAAUGCUUUGCUGCUGCCAAGAGUGAAACCCUCAGGGGCAUCCCCAGAAGAUCUGUGGGCAGAAUGGAUUUACUGAUGAAAACUAAGGCAUCCAGAGAGGCCUGCAGGGUUAAAGCACAGCUGAACCAAGGUUUAUAGCCUUCUGGAUUUAGGUGCCAGAGUACUGACAAGCUUUUGCAUUUGUUGCCAUGUAAAGAAUUUCAGUUGCUUUUUAAGUGGAACCUCUGUCAUCUUCCACCCUAUCUAGAAGAGAAGGCUAAAAGCAGUAUUUCAGCAAGGAGUGAUGGAUCACUUUCCCAGGUAGUUCGUAAAUUCAGAAACAUUUUUCUUUUUCAUCAACUCCACCCCCUGAAAACCGAAACCCCAAACUGCCUUGAACUAGAAGGCUGUUACACUCUUGGCUCACCAGAUUUACUGAGUGUAAUGGAAUGAACUGGAGAAAUCUAAUUUAGGGCUAGUUGGGCCACAAGGAGGCAGGCUUUUCCUGUAGAACUGGUUAUUCUGUAUGUAGUACUAGUUUUCCCUUCCCUUUUGUUUGUUUUGCUUUUUUUCUUUAAUUUGGAGCAAACUUUAGAUAGGCGACUGUACUGGAGCUAGCUGAGAUCAAAUAAAGGUAAAAGGUGAUGCUUCAUAUAGAGUAUGUGACUGAUUAAAAAUGUCUGAAUCACUGGGUAAGGCAGGGGACAAAGAAGAAAGCCUUCUAAGUUCUUGUUCUGCAUGUCUAAAACUUUAAAAUUAGUCUUUUCAGCAUACACAAAGCUUUCUUUUCCUGAUUUUUUUUUUUUCAAACCCCUCUACUAUUUCACUUACUGUUAAAGGAAGCUUUUGUUGACAUUGUACAUAAUGACACACAUAGCACUCUUCCUCUCUUUCUGCAUAAACUACUGAUUUAGUGUUCCUAAGUGUAGGGGUUUUUUUUGAUGGUUUAAUUGAGGAGGAAAGGAAAUGUGUGUUAACUUCAUUAAUCUGUUUAUGUGCAGCUUGAAUGUUUCUCUUGAGGUAUGUGAAACAAGGGGAUUAAAAGUAGCCACUUCAACUCUGUUGGUUUCCUUCAUCGCAGGAAGGCAUUGCCUACUUUAAUUUCUAAAUACUGUUUACUUUGCUGCAUACUUUUUAAUGUAACUUUAGUCUCUUACGUGUUGUGACACUGAAUGUGAUUUCUGAUACCUUGAUCUUGGACAAGUGAAGAUACCAGAGGUUAAAAAAGUCGAAUUGUCAUAUGUCCUUUUCUGUAUCAUUCACUUCCUAGAAGAUCCAAGGAGAUAGAAAAUAAUGUUCCUUUCUAUAACAAGUAACAGUUUCUGCUAAUAGAUCUUUCUUUUAUAUGAUUCUGUAAUAAAUGGGAAAGAGAUUAGAUGGCCAGGCACUUCAAAAAUAAAUCUGUCCUCUCACUAGAACGUAAAUGUCAUACAUGUAUAUUUUCUUAAUCUAACAUAUGUCAAUUGACAAAAUUACUGUCUUGGCAAUUCAGGCACUUAUUUUUAUGGAUAACUUCAUAAAACUUAACUUUGGUUGCAAUGAAAUGAUGGUCCAUUGCAAAUUCUGUGCAGUCUCUUUAGGUCUGUAGCUGUAUUGGGCUAUUAUCUUUUCCUCUCCUUUUUUAAAUGCCUCAGUGAGGGAGUUUUUUUGCUUUUUAACAGUGAGAAAUUAGUUCUUUGCUCGAAGACUUGUGUUGUCCCCUGCAAUCUGCUAGGCUAGAAAUUGAUGACUGAUACAAAUGCUAUGGCUCUUGGAUUACUGUUUGCUGCUUGUUUCAUAAAUGCAGAAGUAGAGCAGGGCUGUAGAUAGAAGGGGUUGGAGAAACAGGAGUGACUUCUUUGGUUGUUUAAUAUCAAAUGGGGUAGUCAACCACCUUUCCCUAUUAUUUUUCCCUUUCAUGUGGGUAUUGUAGUAAUUUGCUGUGUUUCUGUGUUAUUCCAUUGCUGCUGUGGUUUGCUGCUUUCUGGGAU